rnacentral:rRNA from 1 species
AUUGAACGCUGGCGGCAGGCUUAACACAUGCAAGUCGAGCGGAGAUGAGGUGCUUGCACCUUAUCUUAGCGGCGGACGGGUGAGUAAUGCUUAGGAAUCUGCCUAUUAGUGGGGGACAACAUUCCGAAAGGAAUGCUAAUACCGCAUACGUCCUACGGGAGAAAGCAGGGGAUCUUCGGACCUUGCGCUAAUAGAUGAGCCUAAGUCGGAUUAGCUAGUUGGUGGGGUAAAGGCCUACCAAGGCGAGGAUCUGUAGCGGGUCUGAGAGGAUGAUCCGCCACACUGGGACUGAGACACGGCCCAGACUCCUACAGGAGGCAGCAGUGGGGAAUAUUGGACAAUGGGGGGAACCCUGAUCCAGCCAUGCCGCGUGUGUGAAGAAGGCCUUAUGGUUGUAAAGCACUUUAAGCGAGGAGGAGGCUACUGAGACUAAUACUCUUGGAUGGUGGACGUUACUCGCAGAAUAAGCACCGGCUAACUCUGUGCCAGCCGCCGCGGUAAUAC